GCGUUGAAAAGCUCGGGGAUGACUUGUGGGUAGCGGUGAAAUUCCAAUCGAGCCCGGAGAUAGCUGGUUCUCCCCGAAAUAGCUUUAGGGCUAGCCUCAAGGUGAGAGAUACGGAGGUAGAGCACUGAAUGUCCUAGGGGGUAUUGCACCUACCGAAGACUAUCAAACUCCGAAUGCCGUCAUCUUAUACUUGGGAGUCAGACUGUGGGUGAUAAGAUUCAUAGUCGAAAGGGCAACAGCCCAGAUCGUCAGCUAAGGUCCCUAAAUGUAAGUUAAGUGGUAAAGGAUGUGGGAUUGCACAGACAACCAGGAUGUUGGCUUAGAAGCAGCCACUCAUUCAAAGAGUGCGUAAUAGCUCACUGGUCGAGUGAUCCUGCGCCGAAGAUUUCCGGGGCUAAAACUUACUACCGAAGCUACGGCAUCAGUAAUGAUGGGUAGGGGAGCUUCCCAUACGGGUUGAAGCAUGACCGUAAGGACAUGUGGACAGUAUGGGAGUGAGAAUGUUGGCAUGAGUAGCGAGAUGUGGGUGGGAAUCCCACAGGCCGUAAACCCAAGGUUUCCAGGGGAAGGUUCGUCCACCCUGGGUUAGUCGGGACCUAAGCUGAGGCCGAAAGGCGUAGGUGAUGGACAACAGGUUGAUAUUCCUGUACUACCGAUAACCGUUUGAGAGAAGGGAUGACACAGUAGGAUAAGCUAAGCACACUGUUGGUUAUGUGUGCCCAAGCAUUGAGGCAGUCAAAGUAGGCAAAUCCGCUUUGAUAAUGCUGGGAUGUGAUGGGGAGCGAAAUUUAGUAGCGAAGUAGCUGAUUUCACACUGUCAAGAAAAGUCUCUAUCGAGGUUAAAGGUACCCGUACCGCAAACCGACACAGGUGGGUGAGGAGAGUAUCCUAAGGCCAGCGAGAGAACUGUUGUUAAGGAACUCGGCAAAAUGACCCCGUAACUUAGGGAUAAGGGGUGCCACCAUCAGGUGGCCGCAGAGAAUAGGCCCAAGCGACUGUUUACCAAAAACAUAGGUUUCUGCUAAGUCGCAAGACGAUGUAUAGGAGCUGACGCCUGCCCGGUGCUGGAAGGUUAAGGGGAGCUGUUAGAGCAAGCGACGGAGUGGACUUAAGCCCCAGUAAACGGCGGGCGUAACUAUACCGGUCAUAAGGUAGCGAAAUUCCUGGGCGGGUAAGUUCCGACCCGGACGAAAGGCGUAACGAUUUGGGCACUGUCUCAACAACAGACUCGGUGAAAUUGUAAUUCCGGUGAAGAUGCCGGAUACCUG
rnacentral:rRNA from 1 species